AUAUAGCCAAUGCUUUCAUCUAAAGCAGAUGUUCAAGAAGGGCUGGGAAGAUCAUUCCACCACAGAGGUACAGUGAUUUUUCCAAAGGUUGUGUUCAUUGUCAGCUUGAAAUGUCUAGAGAUUCAGUGAUGAUGUGAUUAUAGUAUAGUUCAGUUGGUGCUGAAGCUGUUUUUAUAUAGACAAUCAUAGACACAUGCAUCUGUAAAAUAAAUGGUAAAAAUGGGUUGUCUUUAUUAUAUGUCUAAUAUAGGAGGGUUUAUAUCUCUAGACAACAAAACACAUUCAGUGUUCCCUAUUUAAUAUAUAUAUGUUAUGAAAUUCAAGUUUUGGUGAAAACAAAACUGACAUUUUAUAAAAGUGCUGAAAUUAGAACUUGUCUGAGCAAGGUCUAUAACAUACAGAUUUGUGCUAAAAGAUGCUUUUAACCUUCUCAAUUUACAAUGUUAUUUUACAGUUUUCAGAAGAAAUGCAGGCCUUUAAUUCAUGUAUUGAGUAUGAAACGGAGAGCGGUGUAGAGCAGGUGGUGUUGGCCAGACGAGGCAUAUGGUGUAUUAACACCUUCACCUGACCACAGCUCCUCUGAAGUGACCUUAGAGCACUGAGCAAUUACCAGACGCAGUCUUUCCCCCAUUCAACACGUCCGAUGAGCAUUGGGCUUGACCUUUGGAAAGUGUGUGGGUUUAAGAAAAUCUGGACGCUGUGAGGUUUAGGCUGAUUGUGUGCAUUCAUACUCAGUUUUGAGCGUUGUGCCACAGCAGGUUUAGAGAGAUUGAUGCCUUCUGCGGUUUGUUGCACAAAGGAAAAUCACACAAGGUUCCUCUCUGGACGAGACAGUGGUACAGCAGGACUGCGAGAGUAAUCAGUUGUCCAUAGUGUUGAUGACACUAUAUUAGAAGGCUUCACCUUCAUCCUGCCCACUGCCCACAGUGUGAAGAUAUUUCACUACGACUUCCCUCCUUGUUAAAUGAAGUGUUAUGGUUGGCUCUGAUCAGUGGUGGAGCAGCUGUCACUGACUGAUUUGAACUUGCAACCUUUGCCACUAAAUGUAAGAAAUAUUUCAUCUCAUGUCAAGAGGCUAUCAGUGCUAUCAGAAGCCCGGAGCUUUAGAGCAUCGGGACCAGACUGGAGCGAGUGAGGGAUUCCCUGUCCUCUCGUUCUCUUUCCUCACCCGAUGGCAGACUGUCAGCUGAUCCGUGAUCCCUGGGCAGAGUCGGACUGCUCGUGUUUCAGUCCUCUCUCCCCUCAGACGCACUGCGGCAGCCACACACACACACACACUCGCUUCUGUUUUUAGGAGGGAGGGAGUGGGACGGCUCUCUUGUCUUGUCUCUCCCAAACUAUUCCUUCUUCAAGUCUCUCCUCACUUGGAAGGCUUUCUUCGGAGAAUGCAAACAUGCCUGGGAAGUUUGGAGGUGGAUUUCUGAAAAAGCUUGGAUCUAUACACUCGCUUUCCUUGAGGAAUACAGCAAUUCCCCAUAGAGUUUGUGCUCUUGCAGGAGAUCCCAGAGGAGCGAGUGUUCUUGAAGGAGGGAAAGCAUUGUCUUUCGUCUGCGUGGCACCGGAUCGUCGUGAUGGACUCGGAUAGCGCUUCUGCUUCACAUAUAAGGCUUUGACCACAGGCCUCUCCCUAUCUGGUUCUCAGACACCUGCGAUGAUCCUGUAACUGGAUAAUAGAUUCCCGGUGUCCUGCUUUCAGCGGUGAAUCGUGGAGAGAGCUGCCCCAGACGAGCUGACCUAAAUCGAUCCCAAGCGGUAUCUGGAAGCGGCGAGUGAAGCACAGCUGCGCAGCUCCUCAGCAGCGAGUGUGUGUGUGUGUGUGUGUGUGUGUGGAGAAGCAGAGGGACUGCAGACUCUCUCUCUCUCUCUCUGAACGGCUGGAGGGAAACCGGCACGCCUUGCCACAUCUCUUGGGCACCAGCUCCUUUCCAACAGCUUCUUCCUCGUCUCCUCCAGCAGUGAUCAAUCAGUCAGGCAUUGAUGGAGAAUUAGUCGCUGCUCUGAGCCGCUCUUAUCAGCCGGUGCUGGGGAGCACAUCUAGCGUCUGCGGAGCUGAGAGCGAGGGACGGUCUGGGCACCACAGCGCUCCGAAUGAAUCCUUCGGCUCUCUUCCUCUCCGCCUCCUGUUUUUACUCUAGAGGAACCUGAAGAUCAUUUGCUUUGAAUUGCAUGUUAAGUGCCAUCUCUCUAAGAUCUACUGCUCUGGAUUUCAGGUGAAGGAGCUGGUCCUUUUCCUCUGUCUCAGACCCGAGCGGAUCUUCUGCAGGCCUGCUGAGAAUUGGAUUGCAUCCCUCAAGUUGCUGACUUUUAAUUGGACGGCCGCUUUUUGUUCAGAUAUUAGCAGGAGUCGUGUGGCUCUCUGACGACCUCGUGACUUCUCAAGGUCCAUUGCGGAAGUCGAGCAGAGCUGGAGGAAGUGAGAAAAGAAACACCCUGCGAUCCGUCUUUCAAUGUCUUGCGCUUCACUCCGAUCCUCAGCCGCUCUUCUCAUUAAACUCCCACUGAGUCCAUAAAAGAGCCUCACCGUAGUUAAAAAUAAUGGCUUUUGCUCCUUCUCACCUGGCAGUGAUUAAUUUUUCCUUAUAAAUAGCUUUUCAUUAUGAAGUGAAUCCAAGGAAAUGUGAGGACACGUUCAAGCUUCAUUCGGUGCAGCUCGAGCUGGAGGCCGUGGAGAAGCA